CGGGGUGGAGCAGCCUGGUAGCUCGUCGGGCUCAUAACCCGAAGGUCGUCGGUUCAAAUCCGGCCCCCGCAACCAAUCAAAUUUGAAGAAGUAAGUUUCUACAAGUGUAGAAAGACGGACGCGGGGUGGAGCAGCCUGGUAGCUCGUCGGGCUCAUAACCCGAAGGUCGUCGGUUCAAAUCCGGCCCGCGCAAGCCUGAUGCAGCCAUGCCGCGUGUAUGAAGAAGGCCUUCGGGUUGUAAAGUACUUUCAGCGGGGAGGAAGGUGUUGAGGUUAAUAACCUCAGCGAUUGACGUUACCCGCAGAAGAAGCACCGGCUAACUCCGUGCCAGCAGCCGCGGUAAUACGGAGGGUGCAAGCGUUA
rnacentral:rRNA from 1 species